UAUUACAGUAUACAGUCUUGAAAAAGGAUUCUUAUUUUAAAAAGCAAUGAUGAUUCAUAGUAAAAAGCUUAGUGGCGCAGAAAACCGAAAACGAACCCAUGCAAAAAAUGAAGCUCAAGCAAAAAUACUUUUAAAGACUGCUAAGUUAGAAACAUAUUUUAGCUUUACAGAUAAACAGCUUCACACAUCGCCGGUUGAAAAUGUAAAU